rnacentral:rRNA from 1 species
UUUUAAUUGAAGACUUGUAUGAAUGGUUGAACGAGAAAAUAACUGUCUCUUUAAAAAAUCUUGAACUUUACUUUUAAGUGAAAAGGCUUAAAUAAUUUUAAGGGACGAUAAGACCCUAUAAAUCUUUAUAUUAUUUUUCUUUAAAUUUCAAAUUAUACGUUAAAAGAAAUAAAAGAAAAAAAUAUUAUAUUGGGGAGAUAAAAAUAUAAUUUUUAACUGUUUUAAAAAUAAAACAAUAAUUUUUGAUUAAAAAAAAAUUGAUCCUUUUUUAAAGAUUUAAAGAUUAAGUUACUUUAGGGAUAACAGCGUAAUUUUUUUUGAGAGUUCUUAUCGAAAUAAAAGUUUGCGACCUCGAUGUUGAAUUAAAAUAUCCUUAUAAGUGCAGAAGCUAUAA